AGAACAUCGCAUAAAUAGCGGAGGAAGAGGGGGCAGAGCUCUUAGUGACUCACUCGCGCCUUUUAGGCUAAAUAGAACUCAGCGAGAUGCCAUCCCUAACACAGAUACACAUCCUCUUGUCUUCGAAUGCCAAGGGAAGUGCAUCGAUGCCUGAGUCCAUAAACCACUAAAUAACAGAACCGCAGGCACGGGAGGACAGGACCACCACCACUAAACCCACUAUCCAAAGCCACCGCAAGUUGCUGAAGAUCCCUCUCAGUACAGAACAAACCUGCAUGUAACAAAAACACACCCAAAAGCUAUAUGCAAUCCCAUCGAAGAUGGGG
rnacentral:misc_RNA from 1 species